rnacentral:rRNA from 1 species
UAGCACGCGGUGCUAUCGGCGACCAGCUCACUAAAACAUAGACAACCUGCCCACAGGUACGGGAUAACCUCGGGAAACUGAGGGUAAUCCCGUAUAUGUGUGGUGUCCUGGAAUGGCCCACACAAAAAGCGAAAGCGCUUGUGGAUGGGUCUAUGGCGGAUCAGGUAGAUGGUGGUGUAACAGACCACCAUGCCUAUGACCCGUACCCGCCAUGGGAGUGGAAGCGGGGAGAUGGACACUGAAACAAGGGUCCAGGCCCCACGGGGCGCAGCACGCGCGAAACCUUCCCAAUGCGCGAAAGCGUGAGGGGGGGACUCCGAGUUCCUCCAUUUGGAGGAUUUUGUGGUGUGUAAGAAGCACCACGAAUAAGGGCCGGGCAAUGCCAGUGCCAGCCGCCGCGGUAAUACUGGAGGCCCAAGUGGUGCUCACUAUUAUUGGGCUUAAAGCGUCCGUAGCCGGUCUUCCAAGUCUCCCGUGAAAUCCUAUCGCUUAACGAUAGGGCGUGCGGGAGAUACUGGAAGGCUAGGGGAUGGGAGAGGCUGGAGGUAUCCCGGGGGUAGG